UGCAAGUCGAGGGGUAACGGGGAAGCUUGCUUCCGCCGACGACCGGCGCACGGGUGCGUAACGCGUAUACAAUCUACCUUAUACUGGGGUAUAGCCUUUAGAAAUGAAGAUUAAUCCCCCAUAGUCUCUUAAAGUGGCAUCACUUAAGGAGUAAAGGUUACGGUAUAAGAUGAGUAUGCGUUCUAUUAGUUUGUUGGUGUGGUAACGGCACACCAAGACUACGAUAGAUAGGGGCCCUGAGAGGGGGAUCCCCCACACUGGUACUGAGACACGGACCAGACUCCUACGGGAGGCAGCAGUGAGGAAUAUUGGACAAUGGAGGCAACUCUGAUCCAGCCAUGCCGCGUGCAGGAUGACUGCCCUAUGGGUUGUAAACUGCUUUUAUACAGGAAGAAACUUACACACGUGUGUGUAACUGACGGUACUGUAAGAAUAAGGAUCGGCUAACUCCGUGCCAGCAGCCGCGGUAAUACGGAGGAUCCAAGCGUUAUCCGGAAUCAUUGGGUUUAAAGGGUCCGUAGGUUGAUAAUUAAGUCAGAGGUGAAAUCUUGCAGCUCAACUGUAAAAUUGCCUUUGAUACUGGUUAUCUUGAGUUAUUAUGAAGUAGUUAGAAUAUGUAGUGUAGCGGUGAAAUGCAUAGAUAUUACAUAGAAUACCAAUUGCGAAGGCAGAUUACUAAUAAUCAACUGACACUGAUGGACGAAAGCGUGGGUAGCGAACAGGAUUAGAUACCCUGGUAGUCCACGCCGUAAACGAUGGUUACUAGCUGUUUGGACCUUGUGUCUGAGUGGCUAAGCGAAAGUGAUAAGUAACCCACCUGGGGAGUACGUUCGCAAGAAUGAAACUCAAA
rnacentral:rRNA from 1 species